GAUCAAAUACUUUUUCCCCCCACUGUAACAAAUGCUUCCUCCCUUUACAGCAUAGAAAUGUAAGCUCCUCCUGGGUUGAAUAGCAGGCACCGUUCAGUAUAGAAAAUACACUGACUAUUAAUCAGAAAAUGCUUCAGACCAUCUAGCCAGACUAGCCAACACUGUGCUAAAGAUAUUAAAUAUAUUAAUAAGGAAGAGUUGACGUCCUAUUCACCAAUCACCCCUCUUGCAUUAGAAGGUAUAAUGCUUUAUGUACACUCAUCUCAUCCUUUUUUAUCCCGACUAGUCACAUAUUAGUUACUGCAGCAGCAGCUGUAAUUCAUUAGCUGUGUGAACACUGAUCCCCAUUAGAACUGAGUCAUCAGCCAAGCCCCUCUCUGUUGAUGGUGUGCUGCGCUCCAGUGGGCCAUGCCAAGCAGGACACAGUGCUCGUACAAGGGCACAGAUGAGAGGAGGCUCCCGUCAUCCAUGUGUGUCUCAGUUCAGGUUCUGCAUGCCAGCCAUUCGCUCAAGGCUCGAGUAUGUCAUCACUUUCAAGGAUGGUACUGUCGUGACUGUCCUGUGAGGAUCCAGAUUGGUCGGAUCAGCUUUGCAGUGGAUAACUUCGGUCAGACCCCCUCUCACCCGCAGAGGAGGGAGAAGGAAACUGGUGGGGGGGUUGACAGCUCACGCCCUGUUGUAAAUUCAACUCAGUCUCAUUAAUUAUGUACAAAUAAGCACAAUGUUUUUCAGACUGGGUUGUGUAAAUUAAAGGAGAGGAUAUCCAUGUUCUCCCCCUCCAAAUUCACAAAGGAAUGUGCUUUUGUCUACACAGACGUUUCCCCACCAAAACUCUAACACGUUCUGAAGUGAAUACUGGAACAAUAUUUCUAACAUAGAAUGUGGGGAAUGGUCAGAGGCGAUCUAAAUGAUAAUAAUGUCAUUUGGGUUAUUUUGUGCUGUCAUUAAAAAUGUUAUUAAGGAAAUACUGUAACUUGAAAAGUAUACAAACUAUGUGUGAAGUGGCCAUCCUCUACAUUGUGUAUGAAAUAUGAACAAUCAUUAAAGUGUUUUUGUGAAGAGAGGGAUGUGACCUUAGAAACUAUAAGAGGAUGUUUUUUCCCCUUGAGUGAGGUCAGAGAGCGUGUCAGCCUGACGAACCAGCCCUUUUGAAGAGCUGUAUAAAAUUAGGGGUUACGAAUUAACAUAUUAGACCAGAAAGGUGUUGAACUGCAGCUCACGUCCAAACUUGUUCUAACUCUGAAAUCUCAACACGAGGUAGAGAAGAUAGUCACCUCCCGGACAAUCCCAAGUUUAAUUUGGGAGAUGGUAAACAACCACUCUCAAGGUGCCCCAAAUUCCUUAUGAGUUAAUUGUUACAUGAUUAAUUUAAUCGGGUAACAAUUAAACAUAGUUAGCUGAUUGGAUAAAAGUCAUCAGAUUAAUGAAAGUAAAGUCACGACAGUACCAACAUGUGCUUCCAACCCCUAGCUCUGCACAAGGGGAAGGUAAGUUGGCAAAAAUAUUUACAAGCUGACGGAUAAGAUAGCUAAAUUUACAGUAAGCAUGCAUACACAUGAAUUGGGUAGUUUUUUUGUAUGGUUUGUGUUAUGGGGUUACGGGUGGUUAGACGUAGCCUGAGAACCACAGAGUACCUUUCAGACCAUGUCAUCAAUUUAGUUUACCCCUCUUUUUACCUUUUCUCUUUGUAAAACUCUGGAGUCAUUCCACAGGGCCACACUGAAAAAUACCCUCAAGUGGCAUUUUGGGUACACAAGCAUAAGGGAGCGGACACAACUUGCAGUAAUGAAGAACAACAAGAUCGCGUGACAGAAACCAGCAAGGGACACUGAAAGGAGACAUGCAGUACCAGUAAAUCUUCUGCAAGAGCACCAAACAGUUGGUGGUUAAGAAGCCCUAAACCACUUCCGGCAGAGUCUUAUCCAGCUGGCCGACAGGACAAGACCAUUCUCCAUGAGCACAAAGUCUCAGCUUCCCCAGCCCACCAUGCUGUGUACUGAAUGCCGGAUAAAGGACGAUGGCUGCGUUUACACAGGCAGCCCAAUUCUGAUAUAUUUUUUCACUAAUUGGUCUUUUGAUCAACCAGAUCAGUUCUGAAAAAGACGGAUGUGAUUAAGACCAAUUAGUGGAAAAACGAUCAGAAUUGGAUUGCCUAUGUAAACGCAGCCAGUGUGCUCAGCAUAAGACCAUGUAGAACAGAGGUCUCCAACCCUGUUGCUAGAGAGCUACCCUCUUGUAGGUUUUCGCUCCAACCCUAGUUGUAACUAUCCUGGUUCAGCUUGUCAACCAGCUAAUUAUUAGAAUCAGGUGUGCUAGAUAACCUACAGGACAGUUGAUUUCCAGGAAAAGGGUUGGAGAGCCCUGAUGUAGAACCACCAUAUAAUAAAUAUGGAUUCUCUAUCAAUCUUCAAAAUGUGUCUGCCUUUAUAGAAUCACAGAAUAUAUUUAUUUAAGCUGUACAGGGCUCUGUAGCAUCAAACAUAUGCUAGACAUUCAGAUAUCCAAAGAAUGUUUAUUUGUCAAAAUCUAAAAUACAGGGAAGUAUACAUUA